UACGGGGGGAGCAAGCGUUGUUCGGAUUUACUGGGCGUAAAGGGCGCGUAGGCGGUCAGCACAAGUCAGUUGUGAAAUCUCCGGGCUUAACUCGGAAACGGUCAACUGAUACUGUGCGGCUAGAGUGCAGAAGGGGCAACUGGAAUUCUUGGUGUAGCGGUGAAAUGCGUAGAUAUCAAGAGGAACACCUGCGGCGAAGGCGGGUUGCUGGGCUGACACUGACGCUGAGGCGCGAAAGCUAGGGAGCGAACGGG
rnacentral:rRNA from 1 species